rnacentral:rRNA from 1 species
AAGUAGCGGAGCAUGUGGUUUAAUUCGAAGCAACGCGAAGAACCUUACCUAAGCUUGACAUCCCAAUGACAUCCCCUUAAUCGGAGAGUUCCCUUCGGGGACAUUGGUGACAGGUGGUGCAUGGUUGGCGUCAGCUCGUGUCGUGAGAUGUUGGGUUAAGUCCCGCAACGAGCGCAACCCUUGUCUUUAGUUGCCAUCAUU